UGUUGUGUAUCUCAUCUCAUUCUAGCAUUCCUGGAGCAUUCUAUCUCACUCUCUUCUCGCCCCUAUCACUCUCGUUUCUCCCGUCUCACUUCUUUUUCCAACCUGUUCUCUCGCUCUCUGACUCCUACCCCCUUUCUCUCUUUCUCUUUCUCUCGUUAUAUAUGUGUGUAUAUAUACAUGUACAUAUACAUAUAUAUAUAUAUAUAUACAUAUAUAUAUAUGUGUGUGUGUCGUACUCUCUUGUAAGAGAGUGAAAUCUCGGUUCGCCUGUUGCGCAUCGAACUAUUGGUGUUCCGUGUAAAUAGAUCUCGUGGAAAUUCGAAGUGGCAUUGCCACGCGCCACUCUGAUCGAUCGGAUGGAUCGAUCUUGCACCGAAGGACUUGUUGCUCUGUGUGCCGGAUUUUCGAAUGUCACGAGCCGAUAUCUGCAUUGGAAUCAGAAAGUGAAAGUUCAUAGAUGAACAACGGAGAUAGUUGUCGGAAGUAAGCUAUAAUUUGGAAUUGUCUAAUUGUCUCAUAACGCUCCAAAGAUUCACGGAAACGGGGGCGAGUAAUCCUGAAUAUCUCAUGAAACUCUUGGCCCCUCAAAGCAUCCAAGGAGAACUGGUUUUAAACUCAUCAUCAUCACCUAGCUGUUCACGAUACAACAUUCCAAAAUAAUCAAAUGUCCCUGAAAACGACAAAACAUCGAUGAAUCAAUAUAUUAAUCAAAGAUAUAACAGAAAAUGGAAUUUGAAAAAAUGGUGAAUUAUUGCAGAGACCUACUUUCAUCGCCCUUCUUAAAGUUGCUCACGCGCAACAUCCUUGUUA